GACGAACGCUGGCGGCGUGCUUAACACAUGCAAGUCGAACGGAAAGGCCCUGCUUUUGUGGGGUGCUCGAGUGGCGAACGGGUGAGUAACACGUGAGUAACCUGCCCUUGACUUUGGGAUAACUUCAGGAAACUGGGGCUAAUACCGGAUAGGAGCUCCUGCUGCAUGGUGGGGGUUGGAAAGUUUCGGCGGUUGGGGAUGGACUCGCGGCUUAUCGGCUUGUUGGUGGGGUAGUGGCUUACCAAGGCUUUGACGGGUAGCCGGCCUGGGAGGGUGACCGGCCACCUUGGGACUGAGAUACGGCCCAGACUCCUACGGGAGGCAGCAGUGGGGAAUAUUGCACAAUGGGCGGAAGCCUGAUGCAGCAACGCCGCGUGCGGGAUGACGGCCUUCGGGUUGUAAACCGCUUUCGCCUGUGACGAAGCGUGAGUGACGGUAAUGGGUAAAGAAGCACCGGCUAACUACGUG
rnacentral:rRNA from 1 species